rnacentral:rRNA from 1 species
GGUCGAUUGACGCUGAGGCACGAAAGCGUGGGGAUCAAACAGGAUUAGAUACCCUGGUAGUCCACGCAGUAAACGAUGAUGGCUAACCGCUGGGCCAAUCGGUUCAGUGGCCAAGCGAAAGCGAUAAGCCAUCCACCUGGGGAGUACGACCGCAAGGUUGAAACUCAAAGGAAUUGACGGGGGCCCGCACAAGCGGAGGAACAUGUGGUUUAAUUCGAUGAUACGCGAGGAACCUUACCCGGGCUCGAACGGCUGGUGAAGAGAUCCAGAGAUGGUGACGUCCUUCGGGACACCAGUCGAGGUGCUGCAUGGUUGUCGUCAGCUCGUGCCGUGAGGUGUCGGCUCAAGUGCCAUAACGAGCGCAACCCUUGCCGUCAGUUACCAUCAAGUAGAGUUGGGGACUCUGGCGGGACUGCCACCGCAAGGUGUGAGGAAGGGGGGGAUGACGUCAAAUCAGCACGGCCCUUACGUCCGGGGCGACACACGUGUUACAAUGGCGGCCACAGAGGGGCACUACCUGGCGACAGGAUGGGAAUCUCGAAAAGCCGUCUCAGUCCGGAUCGGAGUCUGCAACCCGACUCCGUGAAGCUGGAUUCGCUA